ensembl:lncRNA
GGCACAUGACAUAAAAUCUGAUAGUUUAAUCACUUUUAAGUUUACAGUUCAGUAGUGUUAAGUACAUUCACAUCAUUGUGCAAUCAUCACCUGCUUUCUGUUUUUAAAGAGCAACAUUUUGAUGUGGCUAGAAAGUGCGCGACAGAGACCAUCCUCCUUGGUAUGGCAGGGCCCUUACCCUCCCCAUACCCCCAGAAGGCAAAUGUCCCCAUCUCGAGAGAGGGGGCUUUCGACAGCCAUCUGCUUCCACAGCUCCACCUCCACACAAAGUGAGGCUUGACCAGCCUUGUGGGGUCAUUUGGGUGGAUGGAGCCAAGGAUGCGGAGCCCACAGACCCCACGCUGCUGGGAAGGCACCGACCCCUGACCCUGUGAGUCACCCUAGCUUGGCUGACCCUGGCUUGGCCUUGGCAGGGCUGCAUGCCACCUCAGCUCCCACCCAGAGCUUUCCCAGGCUGGAUAAACCAGGGCAGAGAGGGGAGAAAAGCGUCCUCAGCCUGGGAACCACUGGGGCUCCGGUCGCCCAGGGCAGCUGUCAGCUGGCCAGGCCCUGCCCUUCUUAGGACCCACGUCAGCUGCCCCCUGGCUUGUCGGGUCCGCUGCCACCCAGAGCCCCUUUGGAUAAGAAGCCCUUUCACACCUGUCCAGGGGCCACGACAGCAAAGGAUGCCCUAUCUCCGGCCAGUUACCAAGACAUGCCAACCACACCUGCUCCCACUCAUCCCUUCCCUUGCCCACCAGUGUCUCGGAGAGUCUACAGCAAUGAAACCCACCCAGAAGUCCUGCUCCAAUUGGUUUUCAUGACCAUGUGAUUGACCCUGAAUUGAAACACGAUAAUGGAAUGCUUCUAAAUACACAUUCUUCUUGGAAAAUGUAUGAAGUUUUUUUCUUAAUUUUUUUAAUGGAAUCAGAGGACUUGGUUCUUGGACAGACUGUUGGUGUGAGGGUUCCCGGUGCCACCCAGAGGGAACCCACCUGGUGGGAUGCCAGGCAGCGGGCUGGCCGCGGGGCGGCCCCGAGGCCUGCUUUGAGAGCGUGCCUGUAUCACCGGUGCAGGACAGCGCCCCCUCCCGGAGUGCAGCCUUCUCCAAACCUCCUGCCUCCUCCCCUCUGGCUAUAUGAGUCUGAGGAAGCCAUCCCCAAAGUUUUGAUGCUCCUUUUUUUCUAACUUUGUAUUUUGUAUUGGGGUAUAGCCAAUUAACAAAGAUGUGACAGCUUCAGGUGAGCAGUGAAGGGACUCAGCCAUGCAUAAACAUGCAGCCAUUCUCCCCCAAACUCCCCUCCCAUCCAGGCUGCCACAUAACAC